CUACGGGGGGCAGCAGUGGGGAAUAUUGCACAAUGGGCGAAAGCCUGAUGCAGCAACGCCGCGUGAGGGACGACGGCCUUCGGGUUGUAAACCUCUUUUAGCAGGGAAGAAGCGAAAGUGACGGUACCUGCAGAAAAAGCACCGGCUAACUACGUGCCAGAAGCCGCGGUAAUACGUAGGGUGCAAGCGUUGUCCGGAAUUAUUGGGCGUAAAGAGCUCGUAGGCGGUUUGUCGCGUCUGCUGUGAAAAUCCGAGGCUCAACCUCGGACCUGCAGUGGGUACGGGCAAACUAGAGUGCGGUAGGGGAGAUUGGAAUUCCUGGUGUAGCGGUGGAAUGCGCAGAUAUCAGGAGGAACACCAAUGGCGAAGGCAGAUCUCUGGGCCGUAACUGACGCUGAGGAGCGAAAGCGUGGGGAGCGAACAGGAUUAGAUACCCGGGUAGUC
rnacentral:rRNA from 1 species